ensembl:snoRNA small nucleolar RNA SNORD60
UGCCAGUGAUGACAAAUUAAAUAUUUUCUGACACCUCGUAUGAGAGCUGUUUGCUCCUGAUUCGAACUUUGAUCUGAGGCCA